rnacentral:rRNA from 1 species
UACGUAGGGGGCGAGCGUUGUCCGGAUUUAUUGGGCGUAAAGAGCUCGUAGGCGGUUUGGCAAGUCGGGUGUGAAAACUCCGGGCUCAACUCGGAGACGCCACUCGAUACUGCUAUGACUCGAGUCCGGUAGGGGAGUGCGGAAUUCCUGGUGUAGCGGUGAAAUGCGCAGAUAUCAGGAGGAACACCGGUGGCGAAGGCGGCACUCCGGGCCGGUACUGACGCUGAGGAGCGAAAGCGUGGGGAGCGAACAGG